GAAUUGCGAUAUGUAAUGUGAAUUGCAGAAUUCAGUGAAUCAUCGAAUCUUUGAACGCACCUUGCACCCUUUGGUACUCCAAUGGGUAUGCCUGUUUGAGCGUCGUUCGCAUCUCAACGCAAGUUGGACGUUGAAGGCGUGCUGGUGACGAGCCAGCUCCUUUUAAACGCAUUGCAGAGCUUGCGCUGUUGCUGGCUUUGGUUUGAUAAAUCAUUAUCUGUGCCUUUGCUGGACGGCUUCUCUGUUCGUCUCUCUACGAGACUGUCCCUCGUGGGCAUCGAUCGAAACAGACCUCAAAUCAGGUAGGACUACCCGCUGAACUUAA
rnacentral:misc_RNA from 1 species